CGAGUGGCGACGGGUGAGUAAUGUCUGGGAAACUGCCUGGUGGAGGGGGAUAACUACUGGAAACGGUAGCUAAUACCGCAUAACGUCGCAAGACCAAAGAGGGGACCUUCGGGCCUCUUGCCAUCGGAUGUGCCCAGAUGGGAUUAGCUAGUAGGUGGGGUAACGGCUCACCUAGGCGACGAUCCCUAGCUGGUCUGAGAGGAUGACCAGCCACACUGGAACUGAGACACGGUCCAG
rnacentral:rRNA from 1 species